rnacentral:rRNA from 1 species
CCUACGGGAGGCUGCAGUCGAGAAUCAUUCACAAUGGGGGAAACCCUGAUGGUGCGACGCCGCGUGGGGGAAUGAAGGUCUUCGGAUUGUAAACCCCUGUCAUGUGGGAGCAAAUUAAAAAGAUAGUACCACAAGAGGAAGAGACGGCUAACUCUGUGCCAGCAGCCGCGGUAAUACAGAGGUCUCAAGCGUUGUUCGGAAUCACUGGGCGUAAAGCGUUCGUAGGCUGUUUCGUAAGUCGUGUGUGAAAGGCGCGGGCUCAACCCGCGGACGGCACAUGAUACUGCGAGACUAGAGUAAGGGAGGGGGAACCGGAAUUCUCGGUGUAGCAGUGAAAUGCGUAGAUAUCGAGAGGAACACUCGUGGCGAAGGCGGGUUCCUGGACAUUAACUGACGCUGAGGCACGAAGGCCAGGGGAGCGAAAGGGAUUAGAUACCCUUGUAGUC